AUGGUGUUAAAAUCGGAACAAGAUGGCGUCCGGUCAAUAGACGAAUAGCAGGGAGGCCGGAGGCGCUCUCGAGGUUCGUGGGUGUUCUCAGCCCGGAGCUGGAGAGCCUUUAAGGCUGUAUAUCAUUGACAUUUUUUUCUCUAUCGAAGUGAAAUGGUCGACACGCGAGUGAAAUGAAAAAUGUUCCAUAAAGAAGUGCAUAUUACGUAUGCGUCGGCCUGAAUGUGCCGUGUUUCUCGAACUCGAAAGAUGCUGCCGUAUAAAGCGACGACAGAGAAGGCGCCUUCGCGAAACUGUCAGGAAGAUCGUCGUCGUCGUACGUGAGUCAGUGCGCUCGGUGGAUUGAAAGAAGGCACGUACGUACAAAAUGGCUUCGGGCGACAAUGUGGACGUGAUUGAAGUGGUUGAGACAAGCUUCACUGGCCCGGUACAGGCCACAGAGGAUCAUCUCCGACCGGAACAGUACGCGGACGAGGACAAUAAAUCUACAGGGGAUAAAGUGACAACACUUGACAAUUCGGUAGUGCAACAUGGCACCAUCGGGCCCAAAACCUCUUCGGGGGUAUCAAGGAACAAAUCAGAACGGGAGAGAAAGAUUGGCCAUAGAAGAGUUGGAGUGGGAGGUGAAAUUACGUACAAAAAGAUUCAAACGACACAAAUUAUGGGAUCCAUCCAGUUAGGUAUUCAACAUGCGGUUGGUGGUUUGGCCAGUAAACCAGAACGUGAUCUAUUGAUGCAAGAUUUCAUGACUGUAGAAACGACAAAUUUCCCAAGCGAAGGAUCUAAUCAUACUCCGGCUCAUCAUUUUUCCGAGUUUAAGUUCAAAAAUUACGCACCCAUUGCAUUUCGUUACUUUCGGGAUCUCUUCGGUAUUCAACCGGAUGACUUUUUGAUGUCAAUGUGUAGCGCUCCAUUACGUGAAUUAUCGAAUCCCGGAGCUAGUGGAAGUAUCUUUUAUCUAACAGAUGAUGAUGAAUUCAUCAUAAAGACUGUACAACAUAAGGAAGGAGAAUUUUUGCAAACACUUCUUCCAGGAUAUUAUAUGAAUCUAAAUCAAAAUCCAAGGACAUUAUUGCCAAAAUUCUUUGGGUUAUACUGCUAUCGGUGUAAUAGUAAAAAUGUUAGACUAGUUGCUAUGAAUAAUCUUCUACCCUCAUCUGUGAAACUACACCAGAAGUAUGAUUUAAAAGGAUCGACAUACAAAAGAAAGGCAUCGAAAUUAGAAAGAUCUAAAAACUCUCCAACAUAUAAAGAUUUAGAUUUUAUGGAACAUCAUCCGGAAGGGAUUUUUUUGGAAGCGGAUACAUAUAAUGCUCUAGUGAAAACUAUUCAAAGAGAUUGUCGAGUUUUAGAAAGCUUUAAAAUUAUGGAUUACUCUUUACUCGUUGGUAUUCAUAAUCUUGACCAGGCUGCAAGAGAGAAAACGCAGGAACAAAGAUUACUAACGAGUGCAGAGGAAGAAGUUGGUGAAGUUGGAGGUGAGAGUGCAGGAUUCAUUCAAGCAGAACGAGAUGAUAGAAUAGGAGCUAGCGCUCUAAACCGAUCGCGGAGUAUAAAUCGACAAAGGUUAGUUGCGCACAGUACCGCUAUGGAAAGUAUUCAGGCUGAAAGCGAGCCCAUAGACGAAGAGGACGAUGUACCCAGUCCAGGUGGAAUUCCUGCUCGUAAUGCUCGUGGUGAACGCCUGUUACUUUUCCUUGGUAUUAUUGAUAUUUUGCAAAGUUACAGGCUCAAGAAAAAAUUGGAACAUACUUGGAAAUCGAUGAUACACGAUGGUGAUACCGUGUCAGUACAUCGACCAGGUUUUUACGCGCAACGUUUUCAAGAUUUCAUGGCGAAGACAGUAUUCAAGAAGAUACCGUCACUGGACCUGCCUGAGAUUAAGGGGAAUCAUCGCAAAUUCCGUAACCUCGUCACCAGCUACAUAGUCUUUGCUCAAACAUUGAAACAUUCCCCGUCGAAGAGAAAAAGCAUAACCAGGCCACUCAGGCCGUUGGAUGGAGAUUUCGAUUCAACUGCGGUGCCGACAACCGGAACUUCGACAAUGCAUGCUACGUCACCCACGAAAGCUGGUGGCACCCUUCCCUCCACUUGCUCUACCCCGCCCCCGCCCUUUGACGAUGCAGUGCGCUCAAACGACCAAACCUUGGCUUCUGGUGGUCAACUUCAACAGGGUGCACCGACCACAAUGUUAGCGAGCAGCCUGAGCACUGCUCAAUCGAAACAGAAUAAGGUUGUUCACCAUGUCACUCUUACAAAGACUUAUCACGAUGCCGUGAGCAUAUCUGACGUGCAUUUGGAAAGCAGCGGUAGCGGAAGCGGAAGUGGCGGAAGGGAAACAAAGUCGUCGUUGAGCGUGGAAAGUGGUGGAAGCAGUCGAGGAGGUGGUGGAUUCACCUGGACACCACCCGCGGGCAGCGCCGAGGGCUCGACGCCCACCUGGACAGAGGGCACACCGUCCUUCACUGAGAGUUCCAGCAGCGGUGAUGCAGGUUGGUCGACCACACCGAUCAGGGGGCGUCAGGAUGAUGGAGGGAGGAUUGCUACCACUGUCGAGGAGGCGCUAGCCAGUCUCACUACGGAAAUGACCCACCUGUAAUCAAGCAAAAAUGAAGAUAGUUAUAAACAAAGAAUCAUACAGAAAAGAAAAAUACAAAAUACAAAUUUGUAUGAGAGAGAGAGAAAGAGAUAAUUGACUGCAGAGCCUGUGAACCCUCGAUGUUGGCGCAUUUAGAAAUCCUCCCCUUCCGGAAUUAAAUGCAUUAGGACGUUGAUGAAGUUACAGUUUCCCUCGCAGGACUCUCAUUCUGGCUCGAAUGUACAGACAACGAUGGAUAAAACGCAUGAUUUCUUAAAUUCUUUUUCGGAAAGACUGCGUGCGUUUUUUUCCUUAGUUUGUUUUUUCUUUUCUUUUUCUUUUUUCUUUUUUUUCUUCUUUUUUUUUAUUAAAUUCGUCAUUUCUUCGACGAAUCUGGAUAUUAUACACAUGAUAUUUUGAUUAUGUGCAGCUAGAUUUUAAAUCGUGUCGUAGAAUCUUGAAUCGAAAAGAGUGAUUUGAAAAAAGAUAGCAAUAUUUUUUUUAAUAUAAUUAUUGUCGUUUAAAACAGCUAGUGAAUCCAUUGAAAAUUGUUCAUUCCGUGGCUAUAUACGUGUACAGUGCACACUUUGUACAUUUAAAGAAUUAAUAUAUUAUCCUAGCCCUGUACACUAAGAUUAGUCCGUGAACUUAAAAUCUUGUUCUAUUAUUUUUAAUCGUCCAAUCGAAAAUACUCAAAUGAUUGCAUGAUAUUCGUUCAAUGAUCUAUCUGAAAUUUAAAUUAAUCUGAUUAGUGAUUUAUCUUAAAUUCUUCGCGCUAUUUAUUAAAUAAAUGAAGUGAAAGAAAGUUAUACACGAAUUUUACAAUAUCGAAUUCAACAAGAAAUUCUUAAUCGUUCACUUUAUUAUCCUACGAUUAAAUUUUUUCUCGAGAAGUUUCAUUACAAAAUAAAAUGUAUGCAUAUCUCAAAAUCGUUUAAUUCGUUUGAAUCGCGCUUUUCCAUACGAAUUAAAUGGUUACUCGAUGAUUAUUUUAAGGAAAACCAAAUGAAAAGAAGAUAGAUUCCAUUCGGAUUCUAUUCGAAUAUAAUGCAAGCAUCCAGCUCAACGAGUAUUACCAUCGAGAAAAACAAACGGAAUCGUUUACAUUCGAUUAUGCAUUCGGAACUCGGUACGCUUGAAUAUCUUUUAAGUGUUUUUCACGACGUUCCUCGAAAAUUUCUAAAAAAAAAAAGAAAAAAAUCGCGUUAUCACUGC
rnacentral:misc_RNA from 1 species